rnacentral:rRNA from 1 species
AUGAUCUGUUCUGCAGAUUUUCAGAACACUGAGUGCAUAUCUUGCCUUGCAAUGCUGCUGAUUCGACAAUCGAACUGGAUUCAAACUGGACUUGCGACCAGAGCAACCCCAAGCAAGAUGAACUCGAUUGGAAGAUGUCUUCUAAACUCUGAAGGCAAGCACUCGGCCGACACUUUUGCUCCUGUAGAAGGCAUGCCAUUUGAUUCAUGCCAAGAAGCGUUAAGAGGGACAAUGAUAAUUCUUCUUCGUGCAAAACAGAAUGAAGGUGAGGAUGCGUCUCCUCCAUGCAAAGCAGGUUGGUGCGUCGGUGAAACUAGAUGUGAAGUUAAGUGUGCGCGUCCAGAAUAUUUUCAGGCAUAUGGGAAUGUUGUGCAGACAUUUUGUUGGUUUCAGACAAUUGAAAGCAGUGCUACAGUCCAAAUUUUGCCAAGAGAAAGGAGUUUAGGGAAGACGACAGAGGAGGAAUAUGAUGUUGCCCCAACCCCAGGUACUACCUUUACACCCGUAUCCACUUUUGGACAAAAUCGGGAUCUAGAGUUCAUGAAGAGCGCAACUGAAUUUAAAAAGGUCCGUGCGUAUUCUUGGUACCUCGAGGAUGAGAGCAAGCCACCAAAAAAAAUGGCCAGAAGGAAGCACCAUAUGUGCAGGUGUGCUCAUGUGCGUUAG